rnacentral:rRNA from 1 species
GACGAACGCUGGCGGCGCGCCUAACACAUGCAAGUCGAACGAGCGAGAGAGAGCUUGCUUUCUCGAGCGAGUGGCGAACGGGUGAGUAACGCGUGAGGAACCUGCCUCAAAGAGGGGGACAACAGUUGGAAACGACUGCUAAUACCGCAUAAGCCCACGGCUCGGCAUCGAGCAGGGGGAAAAGGAGCAAUCCGCGUUGAGAUGGCCUCGCGUCCGAUUAGCUAGUUGGUGAGGUAACGGCCCACCAAGGCGACGAUCGGUAGCCGGACUGAGAGGUUGAACGGCCACAUUGGGACUGAGACACGGCCCAGACUCCUACGGGAGGCAGCAGUGGGGAAUAUUGCACAAUGGGGGAAACCCUGAUGCAGCGACGCCGCGUGGAGGAAGAAGGUCUUCGGAUUGUAAACUCCUGUUGUUGGGGAAGAUAAUGACGGUACCCAACAAGGAAGUGACGGCUAACUACGUG